rnacentral:sRNA from 1 species
UUUGAUGGAUAAUGAGAACCAUAAAAAUACUUGGAAUAAUUUUACCAAAUUUGUACUUUGGG